AGCGAACGCUGGCGGCCGGCCUAACACAUGCAAGUCGAACGAACCCUUCGGGGUUAGUGGCGGACGGGUGAGUAACACGUGGGAACGUGCCUUUAGGUUCGGAAUAACUCAGGGAAACUUGUGCUACUACCGAAUGUGCCCUUCGGGGGAAAGAUUUAUCGCCUUUAGAGCGGCCCUCGUCUGAUUAGCUAGUUGUUGAGGUAAUGGAUCACCAAGGGUACGAUCAGUAGCUGGUCUGAGAGGAUGACCAGCCACAUUGGGACUGGGACACGGCCCAAACUCCUACGGGAGGCAGCAGUGGGGAAUCUUGCGCAAUGGGCGAAAGCCUGACGCAGCCAUGCCGCGUGGAUGAUGAAGGUCUUAGGAUUGUAAAAUCCUUUCACCGGUGAAGAUAAUGACUGUAGCCGGAGAAGAAGCCCCGGCUAACUUCGUGCCAGCAGCCGCCGUAAUAC
rnacentral:rRNA from 1 species